rnacentral:rRNA from 1 species
UACGGAGGGUGCAAGCGUUAUCCGGAUUCACUGGGUUUAAAGGGUCCGUAGGUGGGCCGUUAAGUCAGAGGUGAAAUCCUGCAGCUCAACUGUAGAAUUGCCUUCGAUACUGGCGGCCUUGAAUUACUGUGAAGUGGUUAGAAUAUGUGGUGUAGCGGUGAAAUGCAUAGAUAUCACAUAGAAUACCGAUUGCGAAGGCAGAUCACUAACAGUACAUUGACACUGAUGGACGAAAGCGUGGGGAGCGAACAGG